rnacentral:lncRNA from 1 species
AUGUGGAGCACAGAGCCUCCGUACUCCUAAGUCGUUUUCGGUGAUAUAACUUUCGAAUCACUGAUCGGCUCCGUUAGACUUGAUUUAGCGUAUUUCAACUAUCUAGAAAAAUAAAUUUUGUUAUUUUUUAAUAUUAUUUAUCUAGUGAUCGAAAGAAAAUUCAAAAUCAGUGGUCAACAAUAAAAAUCUGACAAAAGGUUAUGAUGCAGUACUAAAAUUUUCGAUCAGAAAUAUUGAUCUUGUUGUAGAUAUAGUAUACAAAAUUUUCUAUCAAAAUUUCAUCUAAUUUGAAUACUUUCAUACUGUUAAAUUUGCAAACGGUAUACAUCAGCCAUUAAAAAUUGUUAAUUUUGAAUCCUUUCGAUCACUAAUUAAUGCUAUCGAAAAUCCGCAAAAAUUAUUUUUUUUAAUACUUCAGGUACGCUAGAUCAAGUCUAACGGAACCGAUCGUCGAUUCAAAAGUUUCAUCAUAAAAAAUGGCUUAAGAGCACAGAGACCUCUGUGCUCCUAAUUCUACUCAAUUAUAAUGUAUGUUUAUGGUUCUAAAGUUAGAGUCAAAUGUAAGAUAUAGUAUUAUUUGAUGAAAUAAUUCAAAUGUACUAUAUAUCUAGGGUGCUGUUAUAUCAAGCUUUUACCGUCAAUUUUUCUAUCAGCAUGGUUGAAAGCUAAAUAUAGGGCUUUUUUUGCAAAUAGCCUCCUGACAAAUUUUAUUUGCAAAAAUAGCACCGUCCAAAAAUUAUUUGCAAAAAUGGCCCUGUCCCUGCCACGCUAGCGCCACGUCAGCGCGACGCGAGCAGGGCGGGCCCAGAUGUUUAAGUUGAACACGGUGAACCAUUCACCGUGUUCAAUACAAGAUUUUUGUAUUGGACACGGUGAAUGGUUCACCGUGUCCAAUACAAAUACCCCAACAACGGCUAAGUUUGAGGUAUUUGUAUUAGACACGGUGAAUCAUUCACCGUGUCUAAUUAUUUGUAUUGGACACGGUGAAUGGUUCACCGUGUCCAAUACAAAUAGCUAUUUUGUAUUGGACACGGUGAAUCAUUCACCGUGUCCAAUACAAAAACUUUGUAUUGAACACGGUGAAUGNCAAAAAUUAUUUUUUUUAAUACUUCAGGUACGCUAGAUCAAGUCUAACGGAACCGAUCGUCGAUUCAAAAGUUUCAUCAUAAAAAAUGGCUUAAGAGCACAGAGACUUCUGUGCUCCUAAUAGCAUACAAGUCCUACUCAAUUAUAAUGUAUGUUUAUGGUUCUAUUAAAG